CAAAGGUGGAGCAGCUUCUCCUUCUCAUUAAUCAUUCUGGGAAGCCGUCAUACAAGCAGAAACUGUUGUUCUCAUUUUUAUUAGUUUUCCCUAUAGGGAUUCAGACCAGUGAUGCUUAUCACCUUCUUUCCAGGAUGUGAAGGGUCAAUGUGCCUAUUUUCAGCUAGAGAGGGAUUAGAGACGGAGGGAAUUUGGUAUUACUGCUACAGAAUUAGAUCUGAUGGAGCCGGAUAGUUACAUGACUGUAUCAUGUUUGGGAUCAUAGAGCCUACCUAUUAAGACAUGUGAGAAGUAGAGUGGAAAUAGGAAUACUUUUAUACAAUAAGUAAUAGUAAAAUUCAUAAUGAUUAUCAAUAUAAUAUGCACAUACGAUAAAUAAAAAUAAAAAGGUACCCAGGUGCACCAUGAAAACACAGCCUCUUGUGCACCCUUGUGCCUUCCCCCAGACUUGCAACUUGUUCUGCCUUCUGGUGGCUACCACCACAGCACUAACUAAUGUGCCCAUUACGCUUUUUCGUUCGUUCUAAAAUAAUUUUCAGACAUCAUCUGGUAAAUUUCUGAUUUAAAAUUUAAAAAAAUUAGCUCACCUAAAUCAUUUUAUUCUCUCUUUUCCACCUCUUCCCAAUUGUAGGCAGGCCUUCCAUUAGUUACUGUGUAAAUACAAGUAAUAUCAUUAAAUAUAGAUUUAUGUUUCUAUCAAUUUAUAAAGUAUCUUUGGAUUCAUCUCUAUUUCUGCACCCACUCCCAAACCUCUAUCAAUUGGAUCUUUGUUAGGGAAGAUAACAUCUAUUUUAUAUUCUGUACCAUAGGUGAUUUAAAAGUUCAAAACUAAUAAACAUACUCAAUAAAAUAUGGCAAAGUAAGUGUGGUUUACCCCAUAGCCAAGUACUGUGGUUGACUUACAUUUCCUUCUCCAAGCCCAGAAUCGUGGCCUGGGACAACACAGGCAGAUAUUUCUAGGAGAAAAAUCAAGUUAUACCCCCACUGCCCAGCAGACAACAUCUUAGUUUGCUUCAUAUUUGAACCAUAAUGUUCUUGAAAAUAUUUUGCUUUGCCUGAAAUUUCUAAUUGCCUUUUGUUUCUUGAAUCUUGUGCAGGUUCCACAUUUUCCCAAAUGUAUGAGCCUCUAACCUAAGACAUGUCCAAAAGUUCUUUACUUACAGGGACAUGAUCUAGGGGCUUAGAGGGCCCUGGAAAAGUAAGAUAAUAUAUUUUAAAGACCCAAUUUUACACAAAAGAACAAAAAGAGGAAGAACUAUAGCAGAAUGCCACUGCUGUGGAUUCAGACUUCACCUCCCUGCCCACGGAGAUGAUUGAAGGGGAAAAAGGACAGAACAUGAAACUAACAAGCUUGAGGCCUUAUCAGUGUCUAUAUUGGCAAAUUGAGGAGCGAUGCACUCCCCAAGUUCCAGGAAGUGUUUACGAGUCAGCGCGUGAUUUCCUGUGCUCACGCCCAUGGCUGCCACAUCUGGGGAAGCAUGUGUUGACGUGGAGCUGCCACAAGAUCAGCACCUCCUGGAGUGAUGGGCUGCAGCCCCGAGAAGGUGGCCCUGGAGAGUUCUGGGAGCCAAAGCAAAAGUGGCAUGAACAAGAAAUACAUUUUGCUGUGCCACAUCAGCUGAAUGUUUUUCUACCAAUGCAUAAGAUCUACCAGCCACAGACAGGCACUGUUUUUAGAUGGUCUUGAGGCAUCUCAUUUUACAAAGGAUAUAGAAACAGACGGAUGCUAUAUAGAAACUGGUGGAGUGGGGUGGAAGAGAAGACAGAAGACAAGGGUUAUAAUUUAAUCAUAUAAACUCUGGAUGCAAUAACCAAGGUCUCCCCAGAAAGCUGUCAGUGUAUACUUGUGUGGUGAGUAGAUUUCUAAUCAGCUCUAGAAGGGUGGCCAAACACAGCUAAACUGUGUCUUUUAGUAGCAGGAAAAGCAUCUGCUAUAGUUUAGAUGUUUGUCCCCCAAACUCCAUAUUGAAAUUUGACCCCCAAUAUUGGAUGGGGGCCUAAGGGGAGGUGUUUGGAUCCUGAGGACAGAUCCCUCAUGAAUGUCUUGGUACUGUCCUCACAGUGAAGAGUGAGUUCUCACACUAUCAGCUCCCUUGAGAAACUGGUUGUCAAAACAAGCCUGGCACUCCCCAUCCCCUCACCACGUGGUCUCUGCACACACGAGCUUCCAUUCACUUUUCAUCAUGUAUGGAACCAACCCGAGGACCUCAUUGGAAAGAGAGUGGAUGCUGGCACCAUGCUUCUUGUUCAGCCUGCAGAACUGGGAGACAACAUAAACCUCUUUCCUUUAUAACUUACCCAGACUUGAGUAUUUCUUUGUAGCAAUACAAACAGACAAAGCAUCUGACAAGCAAGUUGUUCAAUGAAGAGAUUGUUAGAGCCUGGGGAAGAGUCAUCAUGUUCAAUUGGUACAAGAUGCAAUUAACUAAUAUGAUUUGGGACAGCUGUCUCCAUUGAGGUCACCAGGGUGUCAUGGAGUGAAGCUUCAGGAGGAAGAGCUGACUACUUCCUACCCUGGGCUCCAUUUUUGUCAGGGCUCUACAGAGAGACAGAACUGACAAGAUAUAAAGAGAGGAAUAAAACAAAAAUCCAGAUAUUUCUAUAAAUCCGAUUAUUUGCCAAAUUAAAUGUGAAAGCUUGCCUCUAUCUCUUUCCAUUGUGUGCAGAUAUUUUGCACAGUGUGGAUUUGGUCUCUAGGUGUGAGUGUGCCCUGGACACAAUGCAUAGUAGACAGACAUUGUGCUUCGUUGUAGACACUGUGCUAGGCACGUAUUACACAUUGCCCCAAAUCCUUAUCACAAACACAUCAGGAGUAUGAUGGCCAAGGAGGAAGCUGUGGCUCAGCCCAUUGAGGCUGUAUAUCCAGGGAUCAACAGCCAGUAAGUGGGUGUGCUGACUCCCAAGGCCAAAGCCCACCUACUUGCCAGGUAACUUUCUAGGGAUAUGAAGGCAUUCUAUGUUAUGAUGGUGUGUGUUACAUGAGUGUAUCUGUCUACCAAAAGUGUGCUUCCAUGAUUUAUGCAAUCAGAUAUGGGAUAUAAUGGUAACUCAUGUUUUUACCCAAGGAUUUUUUCAUCACCAUAAAACAUCACUUCUACUCAGCUUUAUUCUAAUGAUUUGAGGCAGAGUUUAAAAAUCUGUCAAAAUUAAAUAUAUUUUUAACAAAGUGAAGACAUCUAGACAAACAGACAAUGGGGUAGGAAAGAUGGAGCUAAAACCAGGGCUGAGUUUCAUUCACAGAUGGCUCGAGGUCCUACUCAAUUACUAGAAAUGGGCUAAAUAUUCACCUCUAAGCUUUCCAAUAAGCAACACAGUAGGAACAAUAUCAACGCAAUAGGCCUCAGAGUCCAUGAGAAAUAAACUAAACAGUUGCUUAGGGAAAGCAGAGCUAUUUCUGGUAAGAAAUUCAGAGAGAGUUUUCCUUUGAGUCUUCAUAAAGAAGACACUCUUCGAUGUAGGGCGCAGCAUUAACUACAUUCUUAUGCAAGUUGUAAAGGCUAAAUCUCAUAAAAUAUUUUAAUAUAGGCCAUAACACCAAGCAGCAAAAAUAGAGAACUAGAGGAUGGGGAGAUGGAAUUUGCUGUGUUUGGAAAUUAAUACGAUUAUUGGUUUUCUGUGUUCUCACUUAAUCCAGGGUUUUAAGGAAUCUAGAGAAAAAUCAGGAUUGAUGUUUUUCAUUAGUGCGUUUUCUUACAACUAAAGCUCUUGAACGCUCUGGGUGGUGGGGAGUUUGGGUUGCACUUGGCUUGUGAUGAGUUUCCCAGGGAGAUGCACUUCUCAGCUGGACCACCUGAGCACACCACCAGGAAAAGCUUUUGGGUAACCCCGGAGGCAGGAAAAUUUCCUAUGGGUGCUUUAUUCAGCUGUAGUCCUAUAAUCAGCCUUUCACAUAAUUUGAUAGAACUGACCAAUGUGAAAUGAAACUGUUAAUAAGAUCCCAAACUCUCCAGAGAAGAGGACUCUCUAUGGCUAGUAGAAACACCCAAAUUAAAAUAAUGGAAACCCAAUGGCCAUAGUUAGAGAAGGGUGGUCACGUGCCUUUUGUUUCUGAAGAGGGCAGUUCCAAACAAACAUGCUGUCUGUGCCUCUGAGCUAAGACAGUUCUUGUAAAGGGAGCUGAGGCACCAUGGCUGGAAAUCUCCUCCAACCAGCCUGAAAGGGCAUCCAAUAGACACUUAUGGUUUGGGGUUUAGAAAGUACCCAGUCAAGACUGUUAUUUUCAACCAAUCAGAAUUGAAUGUGUUCAAAUCAUUCAUUUACAUAUACAGACCUGAUUGAAGACUGUGACAGGAAUUUUCUUUAUUUAAGCCAGACCCUUUCUUUGUUCUCCAGAAUGUGCUUUUGUUUUCCACCAAAGCCUGUGUCUUCCCGAUACCUAGA
rnacentral:lncRNA from 1 species